rnacentral:rRNA from 1 species
GACGAACGCUGGCGGCGUGCCUAACACAUGCAAGUCGAGCGAAGUGAGUACUACGGUACGAACUUAGCGGCGGACGGGUGAGUAACGCGUGGACAAUCUACCCUGUAGACUGGGAUAACACCUCGAAAGGGGUGCUAAUACCGGAUAAUGUCGAGAAGCGGCAUCGCUUUUCGAAGAAAGGAGAGAAUCCGCUAUAGGAGGAGUCCGCGUCCCAUUAGCUAGUUGGUGAGGGUAACGGCCCACCAAGGCGACGAUGGGUAGACGGCCUGAGAGGGUGAACGGCCACACUGGAACUGAGACACGGUCCAGACUCCUACGGGAGGCAGCAGUGGGGAAUAUUGUGCAAUGGGGGAAACCCUGACACAGCAACGCCGCGUGAGCGAAGAAGGCCUUCGGGUUGUCAAGCUCAAUAGUAUGGGAAGAUAAUGACGGUACCAUACGAAAGCCCCGGCUAACUACGUGCCAGCCGCCGCCGUAAAAC